rnacentral:tRNA from 1 species
AAUUUCUGCUUGGCUUCUCUCCAAACCUACGACCUGAAAAAUCGCCGUUGUAAAUUUCAACUACAGAAAC